GCCGGGCAUUGUGGCGGGUGCCUGUAGUCCCAGUUACUUGAGAGGAAGAGGCAGGAGAAUCGCUUGAGCCCAGGAGUUGGAGGUGCUGUGAGCUGUGAUGCCACGGCACUCUACCCAGGGCGACAGCUUGAGGCUCUGUCUCAAAAAAAAAAAAAAAUUGUAUGAUGUAAUAGAAUUUAUAUAUAUAUGUAUAUAUAUGUAUAUAUAUAUAUUUUUUUUGAGCUAGAGCCUCAAGCUAUUCCCCUGGGUAGAAUGCCGUGGCAACACAGCUCACAGCAACCUCCAACUCCUGGGCUCAAGCGAGUUUCCUGCCUCAC
rfam:Otolemur garnettii contig172486, whole genome shotgun sequence.